UACGUAGGGUGCGAGCGUUAAUCGGAAUUACUGGGCGUAAAGCGUGCGCAGGCGGUUCGUUGUGUCGGCGGUGAAAGCCCCGGGGCUCAACCUGGGAAUGGCCGUUGAAACUGGCGAACUGGAGUGUGGCAGAGGGGGGGUGGAAUUCCGCGUGUAGCGGUGAAAUGCGUAGAUAUGUGGAGGAAUACCGAUGGCGAAGGCAGCCUCCUGGGCCAACACUGACGCUCGAUGCCACGAAAGCGUGGGGAGCAAACAGG
rnacentral:rRNA from 1 species